AAUCAACGCUGGCGGCGUGCCUCAGACAUGCAAGUCGAACGCGAAAUUUCCCUUCGGGGGAGAAAGUAGAGUGGCGCACGGGUGAGUAACACGUAGGUAAUUUGCCUUUGGGUGGGGAAUAACUCAGGGAAACUUGAGCUAAUACCGCAUAAUGCAGCGGCUCGACAUCGAGACAGUUGUUAAAGCGGGGGAGUCGCAAGACCUCGCGCCUAAAGAGAAGCCUGCGGCAGAUUAGCUAGUUGGUAGGGUAAUGGCCUACCAAGGCAACGAUCUGUAACCGGCCUGAGAGGGCGGUCGGUCACACUGACACUGACAUACGGGUCAGACUCCUACGGGAGGCAGCAGUCGGG
rnacentral:rRNA from 1 species